UGGGGUUUUAGCUCAGUGGUAGAGCGCUCGCCUGGCAUGUGUGAGGCACUGGGUUCGAUCCUCAGCACCACAU
rnacentral:tRNA from 1 species